rfam:Microdochium bolleyi strain J235TASD1 unplaced genomic scaffold Micbo1qcscaffold_2, whole genome shotgun sequence.
GCGGCCAUGGAGUAGUAGUCAACUCGUUUCCCUCCCAAGGAAGAAACGCGGGUGCAAAUCCCGCUGGCCGCA